GAAGUUUCACAGGAUAUACUAUUCCUAUCGAGAGUGACGCAGCCUCCUCGGUUCUAAGAGGGGAGAGAAUCUUCACUAUUGAUCGACGAUGAUGCAACCUCUUCAUUCCCAAGUGCUUUCUUGAACGCUGUUGGUUCCCCUUUCUCUUCGUCCUCAUCGUCGUUGCUGUUAGCCUAUUAACUGUCGUAAUCUCGAAUAAUUUCUUGAUCUCGGUGUCUCUACAUUUUGCUAUCUCCCUUUCUUAUUUCUUUAAUUUGUUUUAUU
rnacentral:misc_RNA from 1 species